GUUGGUUACGGAGACCUGGUGCCUAUUGGACCCCUUGGCAAGUUGGUUGGGUCUCUAUGCACAAUAGUCGGUGUGUUGGUGCUUGCGCUUCCGGUGCCGGUCAUUGUGGCAAAC
rfam:Soboliphyme baturini genome assembly, scaffold: SBAD_scaffold0010007